GCUACUCAGAAAUUCUCCUCCCAACCAAGAUUUUGAGGGCAUCCUCUGUUUGUUAGCUCGGCUCUUCCCACCUCCACCCUGCUGAGCGGAUACGAAAAAGGGGUCAGCGCCCUGCCGAGCAGCGAAGGCCGAAUCGAGCUUCGCUGCUGAGCUCGGACGAGUCCGCCCCGAAAAGAGAGAGCCCGCGCUCCCGAAAAUAUCUCCGCGCGUCCCCGCUGAGAGGGUAGACCCCAACUCCCGUCACCCCCUGCCCCUUUCCCCACGAGCCCAGCAUCCAGGCCUCGUCCCCGAAAAAUCGCCCUCCGUCCGCCGCCAAGGUCGCCGCCUCCCCCGGCUCGCUCGCCUCCCCUGCCUCCCCCGGCUCGCUCGCCUCCCCCGCGUCCCCGGCUCGCUCGCCUCCCCUCCCUCCAGUCGCUCCUCUCCCGUUGCACAGGAGAACCAGAUCGAGCCCGGCAUGGAGAGGGCGAGGUCGACCUCCCCGCCCGUGUCUGGCGGUUGAACCGGCCUCCAUCUACUGGUUAUCCCUGCGACGGCCUUGAGGUCCUCCACUUCCGGCCGUCGUCAAACCUAGCAGCAGCACAUCUCAGGCCAGAACAAGAUCCGUCGAUCUGCACAUCUCCGACCUGAAAUUCUCCAACCUCAACGUUCCUGGCCGGAUCUGCACGUGCUCUCAAGAUGGAUGAUUUGGCAAGGAAGCGGCGCAAACUUAUCGUGCAAGCAGCCGGUAUCGCAGCUGUAUUGGGUGCAUACAUGAUCUUUAUCUCAAGGAGAGCUAGGAAACAAACUCCAUUGUUAACAAUAGGUCGUAGGAUUGAUAUGGAUGUUGCUAGGGAAUCAAAUCUGAGAUAUAUCUAUCAUUCUAGCGACACAAAUUGCUCAAACCAACUAAGAAUGAAAAGAGCUCCUUUUUUUCGUUUGUGCACUUUGUUUAGAGAGAGAGAGCUAUUGAAAGAUAGUAUUCAUACUUCUAUUGAGGAACAAGUAGCCAUGUUUCUCCUAGUAGUUGGCCACAACACAAGGUUUAGAGCUCUACAACCGACUUUUAGAAGAUCUAUUGAAGUAAUUAGUAGGUAUUUUAAAGCGGUGCUAUAUGCUGUUGGAGAGUUGCGAGCUGAGAUGAUCCGUCCUCCCUCCAAUCAUAUUCACCAUAAAAUUGAGGAAAACAGCCGCUUCAACCCUUACUUCAAGGUAAUCUAUUUUGAAACGUUAAAUAUGUUAACUUGAUAAGACCCAUGAAUAACCCAUUCUUGUAUUUUCCGAUUUAGGAUUGUAUUGGAGCAAUAGAUGGGACUCAUGUCAUGGCUAGAGUCCCAGCAAAUAUCUCAGCUGCCUUUAGGGGUAGAAAAGAUGGCACUACCCAAAAUGUAAUGGCAGCGGUAGACUUUGAUUUGAAGUUUACCUAUAUUCUUGCUGGUUGGGAGGGCUCAGCCCAUGAUGCCCUCAUACUUUCUGAUGCUGUGGAGAGGGAUGAUGGGUUGUCACUUCCUCCAGGAAAAUACUACCUUGUUGAUGCUGGUUAUGCCGUGAGACCGGGUUUCCUUCCACCGUACCGUAAAACAAGGUACCACCUAAAGGAGUAUGGUGGAGGAAAUCAUCCUGAAAAUUAUAAAGAGCUGUUCAACUUAAGACACUCUUCUCUAAGGAUAUCAAUUGAAAGGGCCUUCGCUGCAUACAAGAACCGUUGGAAGUUUGUUUACAAUAGACCAUUCCAUCCUUAUAAGACCCAAGUAAGAGUAGUUAUAGCUUGUGCCAUUCUCCAUAAUUGGGUACUUCAAUUUGGGGAGGAUGACUAUUUCCCACCUGAGGCAAC